rnacentral:tRNA from 1 species
UAGAUUAAGGCCCGCUGGCUGGGGCAAUUAGUUGUUAACUAAUUUUUUACGGGAUCGAGGCCCGUUGGUCUAAG